rnacentral:tRNA from 1 species
CUUCUCGUAGUGUAGUUGGCAACGCGCCUGUCUAAUGAGUAGGAGUCGUGAGUCUCACCGAGAGGA